CAGUCGCCGCGGGAAUACGUAGGGUGCAAGCGUUAAUCGGAAUUACUGGGCGUAAAGCGUGCGUAGGCGGCUUCUUAAGUCGGAUGUGAAAUCCCUGAGCUUAACUUAGGAAUUGCAUUCGAUACUGGGAAGCUAGAGUAUGGGAGAGGAUGGUAGAAUUCCAGGUGUAGCGGUGAAAUGCGUAGAGAUCUGGAGGAAUACCGAUGGCGAAGGCAGCCAUCUGGCCUAAUACUGACGCUGAGGUACGAAAGCAUGGGGAGCAAACAGGAUUAGAGACCCCUGUAGUCCCUGUCUCUUAUAC
rnacentral:rRNA from 1 species